UACGAAGGGUGCAAGCGUUACUCGGAAUUACUGGGCGUAAAGCGUGCGUAGGUUGUUGUUUAAGUCUGUUGUGAAAGCCCUGGGCUCAACCUGGGAACUGCAGUGGAAACUGGACAACUAGAGUGUGGUAGAGGGUAGCGGAAUUCCCGGUGUAGCAGUGAAAUGCGUAGAGAUCGGGAGGAACAUCCAUGGCGAAGGCAGCUACCUGGACCAACACUGACACUGAGGCACGAAAGCGUGGGGAGCAAACAGG
rnacentral:rRNA from 1 species